rnacentral:rRNA from 1 species
GUAACGGCCCACCAAACCGACGAUCAGUAGCCGGUCUGAGAGGAUGAACGGCCACACUGGAACUGAGACACGGUCCAGACUCCUACGGGAGGCAGCAGUGGGGAAUCUUCCGCAAUGGACGAAAGUCUGACGGAGCAACGCCGCGUGAGUGAAGACGGCCUUCGGGUUGUAAAGCUCUUUGAUCCGGGACGAACGGCAGGACAGCUAAUACCUGUUCUGAAUGACGGUACCGGAAGAACAAGCCACGGCUAACUAC